UAAAACCAAAACCAAACCGAAUAAAAAAACUGACAUUUGGUUUGGUUUGGUUUUAAAUUUGAAAAACCGAUAAUAUUUGGUUUGGUUAUGGUUAUAGUAAAAAAUAACCGAAUAAAUAACCGAACCAAACCGAUAAUUAUAUACAUAAAAUUUAUAAUUAUUUAUAUGUAUAAUAUUAGCUUUUCAUAAAUAAUUAAAGAUAUUUUAUACUACCUUUUAAUUAUUAAUUUAAUUUUGGUCUACUUAUUUUUAAGGCCCAUGUCUUAAAAGAAUAUGUCCAACAAUCCAAGCCCAACUCUAAUAAGUCGUAAGCAUAAGGGUAAAAGUAAAAACCCUACUAUCUCUUUUCAUUUUACAUUUCUGAUUUCUGCUCCAGCCUAAGAACAAGAGAAGCAGAAGCUCACGUUUCUCACAAACUCACAAUCAUAGACUCACAGUGAAGGCUCAAGAGCAACCUCAACUCCUCAAGUACAAGACUGUCAAAGUUUGAGAAGGUUUGUAAGAAUUUGUUUCGAAUUUUAAGUUGUUUCCUUUUUUGUUUCGAAUGUUUUAGUUGAUUUUAAGUUGUUUCCUUUUCUGUUUCGAAUGGUUAAGUUGAUUUUAAGUUGUUUCCUUUGUUAGCUACUUGAUUUUAAGUUGUUUCCUUUUUCUGUUUCGAAUUUUUACCUUUAUUUUUUCUUGUCCGAAUGGGUCCUAAACUUCUAAUAUUUUUCAGAUGAAAAUGACAGAGGUUGAAGAUUUGGAGGUUCCUAAAGAUAGUUCAGUAACACCAACAUCUGCUGUAACUCAAGCACAUGAGAUGUGCUUGCUAUUCCUACAUCUACUGUUGCCUCGGAAUCAGCUUUUAGCACCGGUGGUCGGAUACUUGAUUGUUAUUGAAGUUCUCUAUCGACAAAGACGGCUGAAGCUCUUGUUUGUUGUCAACAAUGGUUGCGGUCAACAUCUAAAGAAUGCAACCUUGAAGACCUUUUAGAAGAAAUUCAAAAACUUGAGAUCACUGAAAAAGAUUCUCUGGGCAUUGUUUUGAGCAUUGAUUAGUUUGGAGCUUAAGCUAAGGAAGAUGGUCGAAGUACUUUUGAUUAUAUUCUGUAUUCUCUAGUUAGUUUAGUUUAAAUAUGUAAUUUUUUCAUUUUAAUGGACAAAGUUGUUUGUAUUUUGGAACCUCUGUUUGACUUGUUCUUUUGAAUCUAAACUGUGUUGCAAGUUUGGUCCACCUGAUUUGCAUCAGCAUGUCUUUCCCUCAAUAUGCAGCAAAGUUCUCCCUUGUGGGCCGUGAGGAAAAAAGAGCUUCAUAAGAAAUUUGAAGAAUGUAGAGAGAGAAUAUUUGAAUUGUCACAGCUAGUCAUAAACCGAAAAACCGAAACCAAACCGGUGGUUAUUAUUUUACUUGGUUUGGUUAUGGUUUUAGACAUUUAAAAACCGACUAAACUGGUUUGAUUAUGGUUUUAACCAAUAACCAACCCAAACCGAACCAUGAACA